rnacentral:rRNA from 1 species
GACGAACGCUGGCGGCGUGCUUAACACAUGCAAGUCGAGCGAUGAAAUCCCUUCGGGGAUGGAUUAGUGGCGAACGGGUGAGUAACACGUGAGUAACCUGCCCUUAACUCUGGGAUAAGCCUGGGAAACUAGGUCUAAUACCGGAUAGGAGCGCCUACCGCAUGGUGGGUGUUGGAAAGAUUUAUCGGUUUUGGAUGGACUCGCGGCCUAUCAGCUUGUUGGUGAGGUAAUGGCUCACCAAGGCGACGACGGGUAGCCGGCCUGAGAGGGUGACCGGCCACACUGGGACUGAGACACGGCCCAGACUCCUACGGGAGGCAGCAGUGGGGAAUAUUGCACAAUGGGCGCAAGCCUGAUGCAGCGACGCCGCGUGAGGGAUGGCGGCCUUCGGGUUGUAAACCUCUUUCAGUAGGGAAGAAGCGAAAGUGACGGUACCUGCAGAAGAAGCACCGGCUAACUACGUGCCAGCAGCCGCCGUAAGAC